rnacentral:misc_RNA from 1 species
AGAAAUUUCUUUUUUUGUCAUUUAGGCUGAGAUAUGGGAUAUUGAUACUGUCAUAAAAAAGUAUGGUCAUGGAAAUUUGAAACAAGAAGAAGUUAAAUGUGGUGUCCAGGUUAUUAAAGAUCAUAAAGAGCCAAUCGCAACUGCAACUUUCUCACCAGAUGGAACCGCGAUUGCCAUUGCUAGUACUGAUGGAGUCGUUAAUUUUUUUCAAGUCAAUAUUCCUGAACAAGAUGAGUCUCCAAGAUGUUUACACAAGUGGAUUCCCCAUAACAAUAAACCAUUGUCAUCCUUGUAUUUCCUAGACAACCAUAAGAAUCAUAAGCCAGAUGUUCAAUUUUGGAAGUUUGCAGUGACAGGUGCUGAAAAUAACACUGAACUAAAGCUUUGGAGUUGCGAAUCUUGGAACUGCUUGCAAACAAUUAGGAUUCGUCCUAAUUCUGAAGAUGUAAUCGAGCCAGUUUUAAAAGCAGAGAUGGAUCAUUCUUCAAAGUUUUUGUUUCUUUCUGACAUCAAACGAAGAGCUGUAUUAAUCAUGUACAUAAUGCAAGAUCCUGUGUCUGGUUCUGCCAUGAUAUGUUCUCUGUCUGAAUAUAGAGUAUCUCUCCCAAUCCUCAGUUUAGCCAUAUCCAGUAUUAGCUAUACAAAGUCCCAGUCUUUCUCAGAAGAUAAGAAUUCUGAUGAUGAAGGUGAUAUCGAACAAGCUGGAGAUGAGUUGAACAAUGCUGAUGAAUCUCUAAAAUACAUUUUGAAGCUGUUCUGGAUACAAACAAAAGCUCUUCAGUCUUCAAAAAUCUAUUAUCAGCCGAAAAUGAAUUCACCCUUAAUGUCUGCCGAAUCCAUUAGUUCAUUGUCACAAGAUUCAUAUGUUUAUAAAGAUGGCCUGUCAGACAUUAGCGUUGAUCUGAACACAUCCAGCCGUAGCCGUAAAGAUGACAUAUCUCUACAAAAGAAUUUAUGUAUUGAUGAUCUCUCCAUAACUUCUCCACCUGCAGCCACCUCACUUCCUUCCCAUAUCUCUACUUAUUCUAAUUGCUCAGAAGUCCUUCUCACUCCGAAUGAUUUCACGUCUCCCUCCCACACAAAUCUUUCGGCCCCCGACUCGUUCACUCACCCUGAAGAUGUGUCUACAAAGUGUGAGGGUAUCGAAGUUGUAGAGGCCUCAUCUCUUGUUAGAAGGAAGUCUUCCCAGCAUAGUGCUACUAGCUCACCAAGCAGAGAAGUUGCUGAAAUUCUUGCACCUAUUAAGAUUCUUAAUUUAGAUGAAAUACCCAGUGAUUCAUCUAGUGUGAAACAUGAAGAGAAUGGUUUAGAAGAUUUUAAUUUAUCUGAAGCUGCAGGAAUUUCAAGGAAUCAAGAAUAUCACAUGAAAGAUUGGCCCCAGGCUCCUGAUCACACUAAAAGUUAUAGGAUUUCAGCCAUGAACAUGAAUGACAAUUUAAAUUGCAGUGAACUUUUGGGCCCUACCCAUUUUCAAGCUGAAAGCAGAGAAACCUCAGAUAUAUCAUUAGAUAUGAGCUCCAAACUCUUGAAAUUCAAUCACAAUCUUGAUGAAAUGACACAGAAAAUAGGUGCAUUUACUAACAUAAUGCAUGACCAGCGUUGCGAUAUCCAGAAUUUGCAGAAGGAAAUAAAACUAUUACGCCAAAACCAAAUGCUUAGUCAACAAAGUUUAGAUGAAACUGUGAUAACCAGUAAGCUAGAAGGUGUAGUGUCUCAAACUCUAUUACCACAUUAUUCUAGAUUGGAAAAUUUAGUUUUAAAGAAGGCCGAUGAAGAACGCCGAAGAACAGAGCGAGAGCUUAUCAAAAUAUCAAAUGAUAUGUCCUCAUCACUUGGCAAUAGACUUGAAAGUACACUUAAGCAAGAACUCUCCGCCAAUAUUGUUCCUCAAAUUAACAGAGUGCUUGAUACCGUGUCCCAAAAGAUGCAGCUAGAUUUCAAUCAAAAACUUAGUGCAACUGAUACUAGUCUUCGAGAAAAUUUUGCUAAGCAUUUAAAAAGCAAACCAUUUAUGGAUUCCAUCGCUCAAGCUGCAUCAACUAGUUUGCAAGGUGUUGUGCAAGUUGCAUGCAAAGAAGUAUUCCUCAAUAAUGUUGUGCCUUCAUUUGAAAAAGCAUCUCAGCAUCUAUUUCAACAACUUAAUGAUGUGUUUUAUAAAGGCACAUUGGAGUAUUUACAGUCAUUUGAAAGAAGUAAUCAACAGUCUAGUACUACACUUGAAACAGUUGCUAGCAGUGUCAAAGAUGAAAUGAAAAAACUUGUUGUUGAUGCUCAACAAAAUCUGCAUGCUCAAAUAACGAAGUCUGAGACGCUUAAUACAAAUAUAGUAAAACAACAUGAAGCUCUUCUUGCAAGUGUUCGCCAGAUUGUUCAGGAGGAAACUCGAAAAAUGUUGAGAGAACAGCAAAAUGCUGUUCUGAAUUCCCGCUCAACCACCCCAGUUCCUCUCGCUGAUCCUCAACUUCAAAAACAACAAUUGAGAAAGUUGGUGAUGCAAGGGAAUUUAAAUGAAGCCUUUCAAGAAGCACUCACUGCUAUGGAUGUUCAGCUGGUGUUGUAUCUUUGUGAAUCUGUAAACGUUGAACAAGUGUUUGGGCCUACUCCCUGCCCUUUGCAACAACAUGUAAUGUUAUCAUUAGUUAACCAAUUGUCAGCAGAUCUUAAUGUUAAAACUGAAAUAAAAGUCAGGUAUAUUGAGGAAGUGAUUCCAUGUUUGGAUAAUGAUAAUGCUAUCACACGAGAUCACAUUCGUACAGUUUUGGAGAAUCUUCAACAUCGUAUCAGCACCUUUUUAUCUAGGAAUCCCAAUCACAAACUCUCUCGUUGCCUCCGAAGAAUAAAUAUGGCCAUAAACUCCUUAAUUAAAUGAUACUAAUAUGUUUAUAAUUUCUGUAAAGUAUCAUAGUUUCUUUAUGUAUGUAGAUUUCAUGAAUAUUAGACUUUUUUCAUUCUCAUUAACAUGGAAAGAAGAAAAAAAUUUAUAUUCUGAAAAUUAAACUUGGAAAAAUAAUCAACUUCUUCUUUUAUUGCAUUCAUAAAUGCUACUGAUUGUUAUCCUUAGCAUUUUUAUAAAUGUUGUAUCAUACAUGGAUAUAAAAUAUUUUUAACUUUAAAAAAAAUCUUGUUUUUUCAAGUUAUUUGUAUCCUGUUUUUGAAUGUUAGUUUUUAAUAUUUUUUUGCUGAAUUUAUGAAAAUUAUGUGUUACAAUUUGAAGUUAGUUUUUCAAUCCUUCAUGUAUAACUUUAAUUAAAAAUGACAAAAAAAUUUUUAAAAUAUGUUAUUUUAAAACAAAUUUAGUUGUGUAAAUUUAACCCCAUUUUUCAUUCCAAAAAAUAUUAAUCUGAUGAAAAGAAAUAAUCUAUGGGAAUUACUAUACAAAGAAUUAUUUAUUUUAUUGAAUUAAAAAAUUUGUUUAAAAGUUAUUCCUUGCCAUUUAUAAAUACUCUUCAUCAGGAGUACAAUUCUUCCAUCCUCAGUCUUAAAAUAAAAUAAUUUUUUCACUUUUAAAAAAAUUUUUUAUCUAAAUAAAAAUUUCUAGUUUUAUUUUAACACUCUUGAUUGUCAGUUUUUCUUCAUUUGAUUUAAAAAUAAAGCCUAAUUAGCAGGGUUGCCACAGACUACUAAAAUGCGACUAUUUGCUACUAUUUUUGGCCUUAGGCGACUUUUUUUGACUGAAAAGGCAAAAAAAGCAUCUAUUUUCAGGAAUAGGCGACUAUUAGGAUACUUUUUUACUCUUAGCGAAGUUUUUUCGCAAAAAUGAGUGUUACCUUUUAGAACGUUAAUAAAAGAAAACAAACUUUUAUACAAUCAUUUAUGUCCAGAAAGCCAAAAAUUUAAAUUUCCAUUAUUUUUAAUAAAGUACUUGUUAUAUUUUCUCUCUGAGAGGCAGUUUUGUUAUUUUUAAUUGUUUUUCCCUUCUAUUAGGCAUGAGGCUUCUAAAAGCAACUAUUUUUGUUCAUUUUUUACUGUGGCAACUCUGAAUUAGCAAUUGCAUAAUUGCAAAAAUUUAGCAUGUUCAACUUGAGGGCUGUCCAUAAAUUGUACUUAAGCAACUGAAGUAUCUUAUCUGUUGUACCUGAUUUGUUUAGACUCAAAUGUAGAAACUCAAACAAAAAUAACUUUAAUUAAAACUCUCCGCAUAUUUACUAUUUUGAAGAGGCUGUAACAAAGAAUAGUUUGAUGGAGAAUUAUUUUAAAGUUUUUUGGUAAUUGCUUUGUACAGUUUACUUAAAAUGUUUUGACUCUAAUUAAUAUUUCAACAGUCUCAGAAAAUCAUGAAAUAAGGGUCGGUUUUCACUUUUGUUAAAAUAAUAUCUGGCUGCUUUCAUAGUUAUUGCAACUGUUUAGUUAAUAAAUACUAAGUUCUGAUUACGAAAUCUAGCAAUUUUUAAUUGAAUAUUCAGUUUUCAGAUUAACUUUGAUUUACAAUUGAAUCCAAUUAAUGUUUUGAUAAAAAUUUAAAUUUCGAUUAAUCGAUGAAAAAUUCCCAUGUUUACCAAAUAGUUAUUUUGUCAGUUUCAAAAAAUAUUUAGGUCUUAGGAAUAAGGCUAAAGUUACAUUUUUGGGUCAUAUGUUUGCAUUUUUUAAUAGAAUAAAUAUUAAGUUAUAAAAUUUAUAGUUUUCAUGUAUUCAAAACCAUAAAGUUAAAAUGUUGAUUAAUUAUAAAAGAAUAUUUUAAACUAAAUUUAAGAUUUAAGUCUACUUUAAUCUGUAUUAAAAUUUAAUUUGGCCAGAAUCGUAUUACAAUGAAAGAUUCCAUCUAAAGAUUAUGUUUCAGAAUGUUUGUUUUUGAUAAUAAAAAUUAAUUUUUAUGUAAA